rnacentral:lncRNA from 1 species
UUGCCAAUAUUUGAAAGGAUCAUUAAGAUAUAUUUAGACUGAAACUUCUUUUAAUUUCAGUAUGGAUCAACCUCAUCGUCCAUCGCCAACGGAUGAGCAAUUAAAGGAACAAUGAAUGAUUGAUCUAGAAGAAAAAAUACAACUAAUGAUACAAGCAUUAGUUGAAAAAUUAUGCAUAAUGGAAACAAAAGUUUCUUGGUACGUAACAACAACAUUUUUCAUCUAAACAAUUUUCUCCUUCUUUUCACUAGCAAUUCCCGCCUUAACAUUAACAAGAAUAUCCAUAAUCCAAAACUUGUAGCAACAACCACCAAUAUUCCAGCAACAACAACAUUAAUCGCAGCAGUAGCAAUGACCUCCAAACUUCUAGUACUAGCAGUGGCCUCCAAUUUUCCAGGAACAACAACAACAGCCUCUAAAUUCCUCCUCCCAAUCGCAACAACAAGAGCAAAAGUUCCCUCAACAAUAAUCAAAACGAUCCCUUUUAUGGAGGCUUUUGCCGCAUGCAAU